rnacentral:rRNA from 1 species
AAUAAUGCAAUUUAAUUUGAUAAAUUUUUAUUGAAUUAUAAUUAUUUAUAAUAAGGCUGAGUUUAUUAGGUGAAAUUAUAAAUUUAAAUUAUUUAUGAUUUAUAUUAAUUAAAAUAAGAAAUUUUUGAAAUAAACUAGGAUUAGAUACCCUAUUAUUAAAAAUGUAAAAUUAUAUAAGAUUAGUAUUAGUUAUGAGCUUGAAAAUUAAAAAAUUUGGCGGUAUUUUAGUCUUUUCAGAGGAAUCUGUUUUAUAAUUGAUGCUCCACGAAUUUAUUUACUUAUCUUAUAAGUUUGUAUAUCGUUGUGGAAAAGUAUUUUUAAAAAAUUUAAUAUUUAUAAUUUAAUUGUUAAAGAAUAUCAGAUCAAGGUAUAGUUUAUAGAUGAGAAAAAAUGGAUUACAAUAAAUUUAUUUUAGGAUUAUUAAUUAAAAAUUAAUAUGAAUUUGGAUUUGAAAGUAAAUUAAUUAAAUUAUCUAAUUGAUUAAGCUCUAAAAUAUACACAUAUUGCCCGUCGCUUUCAUUUAAAGUGAAAUAAGUCGUAACAAAGUAGAUUUACUGGAAAGUGAAUCUAGAAAGAACAGAUUAGAGCUUGUUAAGCAUUUUAUUUACAUUAAAAAGAAAAUUUUAUUUAUUUAAUCUGAUUAUAAAAAUUUAUUUGUAUAAGAAUUAAUUAUUUUUUUUAAAAAAAAAAGUUUAUUUUUAGUAUAUAAUUAGAACAAAAUUUAUUUAUUAUAGAGAAUUAGUAUUGUGAAAGAAAAUUAAUUAAAAAUUAAAAAGAAGAUAAUUUGUU